rnacentral:tRNA from 1 species
UGGGGGUUCGCCAAAUUGGUAAGGCAUCAAGUUUUGAUCUUGAAUUUUACAGGUUCGAUCCCUGUACCUCCAG